AACGUAGGAGGCAAGCGUUAUCCGGAUUUACUGGGCGUAAAGCGCGUGUAGGCGGUGUCAUAAGUCGUGCGUGAAAGCUCCGGGCUUAACUUGGAGAGGACGUGCGAGACUGUGAGACUAGAGGCAGAUAGAGGCAAGUAGAAUUCCAGGUGUAGUGGUGAAAUGCGUAGAGAUCUGGAGGAAUACCCGUGGCGAAGGCGGCUUGCUAGAUCUGCUCUGACGCUCAGACGCGACAGCAUGGGGAGCGAACGGG
rnacentral:rRNA from 1 species